UACGUACCGUCCGAACGUUAUUCGGAAUUAUUGGGCUUACAGGGUGCGUAGGCGGCCCAGCAAGUCAGGUGUGAAAUCCCACAGCAUAACUGUGGAACUGCGCUUGAAACUGCUGGGCUUGAGGGAGAUAGAGGUAAGCGGAACUGAUGGUGGAGCGGUGAAAUGCGUUGAUAUCAUCAGGAACACCUGUGGCGAAAGCGGCUUACUGGGUCUCUUCUGACGCUGAGGCACGAAAGCUAGGGUAGCGAAC
rnacentral:rRNA from 1 species